rnacentral:tRNA from 1 species
UUCACCAGGAUGUGUGCCCGAGAAUCUAAGGGUUACUUUGAUAGAGUAAACUACAGGGACUCAUACUCCCUCACCUCCUU